CAGCAGCCGCGGUAAUACGUAGGGUGCAAGCGUUAAUCGGAAUUACUGGGCGUAAAGCGUGCGCAGGCGGUUUGUUAAGACAGAUGUGAAAUCCCCGGGCUCAACCUGGGAACUGCAUUUGUGACUGGCAAGCUAGAGUGUGGCAGAGGGGGGUGGAAUUCCGCGUGUAGCAGUGAAACGCGUAGAUAUGCGGAGGAACACCGAUGGCGAAGGCAGCCCCCUGGGCCAACACUGACGCUCAUGCACGAAAGCGUGGGGAGCAAACAGGAUUAGAUACCCCAGUAGUCCCUGUCUCUUAUAC
rnacentral:rRNA from 1 species